rnacentral:rRNA from 1 species
GAAUUUUGGACAAUGGGCGAACGCCUGAUCCAGCAAUGCCGCGUGCAGGAUGAAGGCCUUCGGGUUGUAAACUGCUUUUGUACGGAACGAAAAGCUUUGGGGUAAUACCCUGGAGUCAUGACGGUACCGUAAGAAUAAGCACCGGCCAACCCCGUGCCAGCAGCCGCGGUAAGACGGAGGGUGCAAGCGUUAAUCGGAAUGACUGGGCGUAGAGCGUGCGCAGGCGGUUGUGUAAGACAGAGGUGAAAUCCCCGGGCUCAACCUGGGAACUGCCUUUGUGACUGCAAGGCUAGAGGACGGCAGAGGGGGGUGGAAUUCCGCGUGUAGCAGUGAAAUGCGUAGAUAUGCGGAGGAACACCGAUGGCGAAGGCAACCCCCUGGGCCUGUACUGACGCUCAUGCACGAAAGCGUGGGGAGCAAAC